rnacentral:rRNA from 1 species
GGGCGUAAAGAGCGUGUAGGCGGGUAGUUAAGUCAGAAGUGAAAUCCAAUAGCUCAACUAUUGAACUGCUUUUGAAACUGAUUACCUAGAAUAUGGGAGAGGUAGAUGGAAUUUCUGGUGUAGGGGUAAAAUCCGUAGAGAUCAGAAGGAAUACCGAUUGCGAAGGCGAUCUACUGGAACAUUAUUGACGCUGAGACGCGAAAGCGUGGGGAGCAAACAGGAUUAGAUACCCUGGUAGUCCACGCCCUAAACGAUGCACACUAGUUGUUGUGAGGCUCGACCUUGCAGUAAUGCAGUUAACACAUUAAGUGUGCCGCCUGGGGAGUACGGUCGCAAGAUUAAAACUCAAAGGAAUAGACGGGGACCCGCACAAGCGGUGGAGCAUGUGGUUUAAUUCGACGAUACACGAAGAACCUUACCUGGACUUGACAUAGUAAGAACUUUCUAGAGAUAGAUUGGUGUCUGCUUGCAGAAACUUAUAUACAGGUGCUGCACGGCUGUCGUCAGCUCGUGUCGUGAGAUGUUGGGUUAAGUCCCGCAACGAGCGCAACCCUCGUCAUUAGUUGCUAACAGUUCGGCUGAGAACUCUAAUGAGACUGCCUACGCAAGUAGGAGGAAGGUGAGGACGACGUCAAGUCAUCAUGGCCCUUACGUCCAGGGCUACACACGUGCUACAAUGGGGUAUACAAAGAGCAGCAAUACGGUGACGUGGAGCAAAUCUCAAAAAUAUCUCCCAGUUCGGAUUGUAGUCUGCAACUCGACUACAUGAAGUUGGAAUCGCUAGUAAUCGUAGAUCAGCUAUGCUACGGUGAAUACGUUCCCGGGUCUUGUACACACCGCCCGUCACACCAUGGGAGUUGAACUCAUUCGAAGCGGGGAUGCUAAAGUAGCUACCUUCCACAGUGGAUUCAGCGACUGGGGUGAAGUCGUAACAAGGUAACCGUAGGAGAACCUGCGGUUG